rnacentral:lncRNA from 1 species
AAUGCAGCUCUGCCUUCCUGCUCCCUGUGCAGAGGUGCCGGCUCCUGCUUCCUGGUUCCCAGCUUUCCUUUUGGGAACUGCCUGAGGUGGUUUGACACACAGCUGUUGGGCUUCUCUUCCCUUGAGGUCUCUGAACCAGGGCACCCAUGCAGGGAGAGGGCCCUCUGAAGGUGAAGGCAGAGACGGGGACGACGCAGCAGCAAGACACGGAUGACCAAAGGCUGUCGGCAAACCACCAGGACACAGGCCUGGGACAGAGUCACAGCCUCAGAAGGAACCAACCCUGCCAACACCGUGAUCGUAGACUUCCCAACCUCCAAAACUGUGAGACAGUCAAUUUCUGUUGUCUACGCCACCAGGACACUAAUACAAAUGCCUAUAGAUGCUGGGCAGGCAGCUGAGACAAAUGGAGUGGGUAGGGCUGCAGCUCGCCACCUUGAGAGGGCUCUGAAGAGAAUCACCCUGAAUUGCAGCCACAGUCAGCAGCCUGGAGGUGAGGGCAUGUGACAGGCAGAGCCCAGAGGCCCAGAAGAGACCUGGGUCCCCAGCCUCAGCAAGGACGACAAGGACAAGGAGACCACCCAAGGGAUAGAGCUAGGGUCACCCCACCAUACACUCAUCAUAGUCAAACCACUGGGGAGAAUCAGAAACUCGGGCAAAGCACACACUCCCUGCAAGCAGCCAAGAAUCUCGCAUGACCAGUCUGGUCCUCUGGAUCUCCACAUGUGGCCACGUGUGGCGCGUGGCAUCCCCUCCACCCCAAUGCCUGGUAUGGUCGACCUGGAAAUGACAUCUAGGAAACUGAGAAUGGAAAGCCAUGUGGGGGCAGCGC